rnacentral:rRNA from 1 species
UACGUAGGCAGCAAGCGUUGUUCGGAAUUACUGGGCGUAAAGAGUGUGUAGGCGGUGUUCUAAGUUUGUCGUGAAAUCUCCCGGCUUAACUGGGAGGGUGCGGCGAAAACUGGAAUGCUAGAGGAGUGGGAGAGGUAAGCGGAAUUCCUGGUGUAGCGGUGAAAUGCGUAGAUAUCAGGAGGAACACCGAUGGCGAAGGCAGGUCUCUGGGCCGAUACUGACGCUGAGGAGCGAAAGCGUGGGGAGCGAACAGGAUUAGACUACCC